UACGUAGGGUGCGAGCGUUGUCCGGAAUUAUUGGGCGUAAAGAGCUCGUAGGCGGUCUGUCGCGUCGAUCUGAAAACUUGGGGCUUAACCCUGAGCUUGCGGUCGAUACGGGCAUGACUGGAGUUCGGCAGGGGAGACUGGAAUUCCUGGUGGUAGCGGUGAAAUGCGCAGAUAUCAGGAGGAACACCGGUGGCGAAGGCGGGUCUCUGGGCCGAUACUGACGCUGAGGAGCGAAAGCGUGGGGAGCGAACAGG
rnacentral:rRNA from 1 species